CAUUCAAAGAGAUUCCCGUUACAUUGCUUAACGCCGUCAUUAACGGCCUCUUUCUAUCAACUGUAUUAAAAAGAAAAGAAUAUAUUCAUUUGUAUCCUUCAGGAAACUCAAACUGACAGCACGUGAUGGAUCCACGUGUUAAUGGGUCCCACAAUAUAGCUUUCAAUAACUAUACGCGGUUGGAACUUUUGUGGUCUCUACUAAAAUUCAUGAGAUUUGAACACGUGUCCUAUUAUUAUUAGAUCUAAAACGGUAGGGACCGAGUCUGCUUCCUUCAUCUUGACGGCCGUUUUUACGGAUCCGUUUUUUUUAAUUUCAUCUCUAUCCA